rnacentral:rRNA from 1 species
UACGGGGGGGGCAAGCGUUGUUCGGAAUUGCUGGGCGUAAAGGGCUCGUAGGUGGCCAACUAAGUCAGACGUGAAAUCCCUCGGCUUAACCGGGGAACUGCGUCUGAUACUGGAUGGCUUGAGUUCGGGAGAGGGAUGCGGAAUUCCUGGUGUAGCGGUGAAAUGCGCAGAUAUCAGGAGGAACACCGGUGGCGAAGGCGGGUCUCUGGGCCGAUACUGACGCUGAGGAGCGAAAGCGUGGGGAGCGAACAGG